CAAUAGCGUAUAUUAAAGUUGUUGCGGUUAAAAGCUCGUAGUUGGAUUUCUGCCGAGGACGACCGGUCCGCCCUCUGGGUGGAGUAUCUGGUUCGGGUCCGCUGGGCAUCUUCUUGGAGAACGUAUCUGCACUUGACUGUGUGGUGCGGUAUUUAGGACAUUUACUUUGAGGAAAUUAGAGUGUUUCAAGCAAGCGCACGCUUUGAAUACAUUAGCAUGGAAUAAUAAGAUAGGACCUCGGUUCUAUUUUGUUGGUUUCUAGAGCUGAGGUAAUGAUUGAUAGGGAUAGUUGGGCGAUUCGGUAUUUAACUGUCAGAGGUGAAAUUCUUGGAUUUGU
rnacentral:rRNA from 1 species